UACGGAGGGUGCGAGCGUUGUCCGGAAUCACUGGGCGUAAAGGGCGCGUAGGCGGCGCGAGCAGUCGGCGGUGAAAGCCCGGAGCUCAACUCCGGGUCGGCCGUCGAUACUCUCGUGCUUGAGCACUGUAGAGGCAGGUGGAAUUCCGGGUGUAGCGGUGGAAUGCGUAGAUAUUGGGAGGAACAUCGCUGGCGAAGGCGGCUUCCUGGACGGGUACUGACGCUGAUGCACGAAAGCUAGGGGAGCAAACAGG
rnacentral:rRNA from 1 species